UAGGGAAUCUUCGGCAAUGGACGGAAGUCUGACCGAGCAACGCCGCGUGAGUGAAGAAGGUUUUCGGAUCGUAAAGCUCUGUUGUAAGAGAAGAACGAGUGUGAGAGUGGAAAGUUCACACUGUGACGGUAUCUUACCAGAAAGGGACGGCUAACUACGUGCCAGCAGCCGCGGUAAUACGUAGGUCCCGAGCGUUGUCCGGAUUUAUUGGGCGUAAAGCGAGCGCAGGCGGUUAGAUAAGUCUGAAGUUAAAGGCUGUGGCUUAACCAUAGUAGGCUUUGGAAACUGCUUAACUUGAGUGCAAGAGGGGAGAGUGGAAUUCCAUGUGUAGCGGUGAAAUGCGUAGAUAUAUGGAGGAACACCGGUGGCGAAAGCGGCUCUCUGGCUUGUAACUGACGCUGAGGCUCGAAAGCGUGGGGAGCAAACAGGAUUAGAUACCCUGGUAGUCCACGCUGUAAACGAUGAGUGCUAGGUGUUAGACCCUUUCCGGGGUUUAGUGCCGUAGCUAACGCAUUAAGCACUCCGCCUGGGGAGUACGACCGCAAGGUUG
rnacentral:rRNA from 1 species